CUGCUGCAGCCAUUUAAAAUGACCUUAGACCAUUUCACCCAGCUGAUGUGCAGCUCCAGCUUUGCUGACAGCCACAUUGGUGGAGAUUGAACUUUCAUAGCCCGGCUCCCACCGAAUAAUCAAUCAAAUCUGUCUCAUUUCCAUCAGUAGGUCACUUCACCUCCAGAAAUGAUGCCUAAGGAGUGCAGGAGACAUGCACUGUACCUUGGAGUGUGCACAGACACACACGCUGUCCUUUCCCAACUGCAGCUGUUCUGGGAUGAGCCGGUGUCUCCUCUUCAUUCCCUUUUUGCUACUAGAGUCCCUUCUCCCCAUCCUGCCUCUAAGCUCUUCCAAUGAGCUAGAUGUGAAAAUGAUGCUCCUUCCUGGCUCAGCCCCAUCCAGUUUUGAGGUGGGUAUCCCCCAAGCCCUCAAGCCAGAGAAGUCAUUUCUCAUGCAGAUGGCCUU
rnacentral:lncRNA from 1 species